CAUUUUAUACAGUGAAACUGCGAAUGGCUCAUUAAAUCAGUUAUCGUUUAUUUGAUAGUUCCUUUACUACAUGGUAUAACUGUGGUAAUUCUAGAGCUAAUACAUGCUUAAAAUCUCGACCCUUUGGAAGAGAUGUAUUUAUUAGAUAAAAAAUCAAUGUCUUCGGACUCUUUGAUGAUUCAUAAUAACUUUUCGAAUCGCAUGGCCUUGUGCUGGCGAUGGUUCAUUCAAAUUUCUGCCCUAUCAACUUUCGAUGGUAGGAUAGUGGCCUACCAUGGUUUCAACGGGUAACGGGGAAUAAGGGUUCGAUUCCGGAGAGGGAGCCUGAGAAACGGCUACCACAUCCAAGGAAGGCAGCAGGCGCGCAAAUUACCCAAUCCUAAUUCAGGGAGGUAGUGACAAUAAAUAACGAUACAGGGCCCAUUCGGGUCUUGUAAUUGGAAUGAGUACAAUGUAAAUACCUUAACGAGGAACAAUUGGAGGGCAAGUCUGGUGCCAGCAGCCGCGGUAAUUCCAGCUCCAAUAGCGUAUAUUAAAGUUGUUGCAGUUAAAAAGCUCGUAGUUGAACUUUGGGCCCGGUUGGCCGGUCCGAUUUUUUCGUGUACUGGAUUUCCAACGGGGCCUUUCCUUCUGGCUAACCUUGAGUCCUUGUGGCUCUUGGCGAACCAGGACUUUUACUUUGAAAAAAUUAGAGUGUUCAAAGCAGGCGUAUUGCUCGAAUAUAUUAGCAUGGAAUAAUAGAAUAGGACGUUUGGUUCUAUUUUGUUGGUUUCUAGGACCAUCGUAAUGAUUAAUAGGGACGGUCGGGGGCAUCAGUAUUCAAUUGUCAGAGGUGAAAUUCUUGGAUUUAUUGAAGACUAACUACUGCGAAAGCAUUUGCCAAGGACGUUUUCAUUAAUCAAGAACGAAAGUUAGGGGAUCGAAGAUGAUCAGAUACCGUCGUAGUCUUAACCAUAAACUAUGCCGACUAGGGAUCGGGUGGUGUUUUUUUAAUGACCCACUCGGCACCUUACGAGAAAUCAAAGUCUUUGGGUCUGGGGGA
rnacentral:rRNA from 1 species